rnacentral:rRNA from 1 species
CCCUAUGGGGUGCAGCAGGCGCGAAACCUUUACAAUGCACGGAAGUGCGAUAAGGGGACUCCCAGUGCUCAUGCAUUGCAUGGGCUUUUGCCAAGUGUAAAUAGCUUGGCGAAUAAGUGGUGGGUAAGACGGGUGCCAGCCGCCGCGGUAACACCUGCGCCACGAGUGGCAAUCAGAUUUAUUGGGCCUAAAGCGUUCGUAGCCGGACAAGCCAGUCUUGGGUGAAAUCGUUGCGCUUAACAAAACGACGUGCUUGAGAUACUACUUGUCUAGGGACCGGGAGGUGUUAGGGGUAUUCCUGAGGGAGCGGUAAAAUGCUGUAAUCUCAGGAGGACCACCUGUGGCGAAGGCGCCUAACAAGCACGGGUCCGACGGUCAGGAACGAAAGCUAGGGGAGCAAAACGGAUUAGAUACCCGAGUAGUCCUAGCCGUAAACGCUGUGAACUAGAUGUUGCAUAUUCUACGUGGAUAUGCAGUGUCAAAGCGAAGGCAUUAAGUUCACCGCCUGGGAAGUACGGUCGCAAGGCUGAAACUUAAAGGAAUUGGCGGGAGAGCACCACCAGGAGUGCGGCGUGCGGUUUAAUCUAACUUAACGCAGAGAAUCUCACCAGCAGCGACGGCAGAAUGAAGGUCAGAUUAAAUGUCUUACCUAACAAGCCGAGAGGUGGUGCAUGGCC